rnacentral:lncRNA from 1 species
GAUCAUGUCACCUUUUCUCAAUCUCUUACUUUCUAUUAGACCCUGCAUUAAAAUACAUAUAUGAGCACUCGAACCAAAGUCUAACACCCAACUAGAAGUAGAAGAAACCAUAAAGUUAGAUUCAAUUAUGAGCAUACCUUCUGAAGGUUUAUCACACUUUUUGAUCGGUAGGCUCUCUAGGUAAAGUGGACAGUUCCACCUCCAAUGACCUUCAGCAUCACAGUGGAAAUACUUUUCCUUUGCUCAGUCUUCUUUGGAAUGUCC